rnacentral:piRNA from 1 species
UGUUUCUUCCUCUGUUUAUAC